rnacentral:rRNA from 1 species
GACGAACGCUGGCGGCGUGCCUAAUACAUGCAAGUUGAGCGCUGAAGGUUGGUACUUGUACCAACUGGAUGAGCAGCGAACGGGUGAGUAACGCGUGGGGAAUCUGCCUUUGAGCGGGGGACAACGUUUGGAAACGAAUGCUAAUACCGCAUAAAAACUUUAAACACAAGUUUUAAGUUUGAAAGAUGCAAUUGCAUCACUCAAAGAUGAUCCCGCGUUGUAUUAGCUAGUUGGUGAGGUAAAGGCUCACCAAGGCGAUGAUACAUAGCCGACCUGAGAGGGUGAUCGGCCACAUUGGGACUGAGACACGGCCCAAACUCCUACGGGAGGCAGCAGUAGGGAAUCUUCGGCAAUGGACGAAAGUCUGACCGAGCAACGCCGCGUGAGUGAAGAAGGUUUUCGGAUCGUAAAACUCUGUUGGUAGAGAAGAACGUUGGUGAGAGUGGAAAGCUCAUCAAGUGACGGUAACUACCCAGAAAGGGACGGCUAACUACGU